UACGUAGGGUGCGAGCGUUUGUCCGGAAUUAUUGGGCGUAAAGAGCUUGUAGGCGGUCUGUCGCGUCUGCUGUGAAAAUCCGGGGCUCAACCCCGGACUUGCAGUGGGUACGGGCAGACUAGAGUGUGGUAGGGGAGACUGGAAUUCCUGGUGUAGCGGUGAAAUGCGCAGAUAUCAGGAGGAACACCGAUGGCGAAGGCAGGUCUCU
rnacentral:rRNA from 1 species